CAGUAGCCGCGGUAAUACGAAGGGGGCUAGCGUUGUUCGGAAUUACUGGGCGUAAAGCGCACGUAGGCGGAUAUUUAAGUCAGGGGUGAAAUCCCGCAGCUCAACUGCGGAGCUGCCUUUGAUACUGGGUAUCUUGAGUAUGGAAGAGGUUAGUGGAAUUGCGAGUGUAGAGGUGAAAUUCGUAGAUAUUCGCAGGAACACCAGUGGCGAAGGCGGCUAACUGGUCCAUAACUGACGCUGAGGUGCGAAAGCGUGGGGAGCAAACAGGAUUAGAUACCCCCGUAGUCCCUGUCUCUUAUAU
rnacentral:rRNA from 1 species